UAUGGGAUACAAAGAAAAAAAAGAAGAUAGUAUUUAAAUUAUUAAACCCUUAAACUCUUUGCUAAGGUUUUCAAAGGAAUGCACUCUGAGGUAGGAGAAACCGAAGAGCUGUAUUCACUUUUCUAGCAUUCCAAUUAGGAAAGUUGUGAACUUUUUGUUUCCUAGCUGCCUGCAGACAUGGCAGAGUUUGAGAGGCUUUCUAAAAAUCCCUAUAAUUCUCAUUAAAGGCUUUUGUAUUUAUUCCUAAGGCAACACCAAUGUAAUGCAAUUGUUUGCAGUUAUCUUUAGUAGUGAGAGAUGGCAAGUAAGCAAUCUGAACUGUUCAGUAAGGCCUGUUAGAGAGAGACCACAUCAAUCCAUCAGCAAAGGCUGAACAAGGAAAGAAGUGCUCCAGGAAGACUCUGAGAACCUGUUCUUCUGUGGUGUGCAGCCUCAUCCUCAGAGCAGGAUUAAUUGUAUUUCUCAGGCAUUAAGAGUGACACUAUAAAGAGAAGCCAUUCACAGAAAAGCUGUCUUGGGAGAAAACAGAUUUCAAGGUUAAAAGAAAAAGGAAAGAAAGAAGAAAAUUAUCAAAAGAUGAAGCUAAACUACUCACUUGAGCAGUUUCAUUCAGCUGGGAGAAUAUCAUCUUCUGUCCUUUUUUACUUCAGAAAAUAAUUCUUAUAAUCAUUAAUUUAAAAGGCACCCUCCUUUGUGUUCUACUGGCACCAUACCUUCCACAGUUUUGAGGUCAAAGAGGCAAACAGCUGUGGCAAAUGAAUCCAAGCAAGCAGCCUGGUAGUUCGUCAUGGGGAAGAAAUAGAUUGUGGCAAGGCAUCUGUAAAAUUUCCCUAAGGCCAUCAUGAUACAGUAGCUUAAAAAUGACAUAUAGCUUUGCAGCCUCAAAGUGAUCAUUUAGAUUAGGUUAACAGGAAGAAUGUUUUUUGUAACGAUGAGAACAACAAACGCCAACCAAGAAAUAUCGAUGUUUCAGCAGAAACACUUACUUAAAUUGCAUUUGGUCACCCCCCAUGGAGAGGAGAGAAAACCUUUUAGCACUCAUAAAAGUGAGAGAUGAACAGCAACCGUCCAGAGCCAAGCCUUUCGGAGAUGGAGGCAAUGUGUGAAACACUGCUCACAGCACGGCCAGUGCUCCCAAUUCCCAGCCUGCCCUGUGCCCAUUACUGCGGCUGAGCAGGCUGCGGCCCCUGCUUCUCCAUCCUGCUCUCGAAAAUGAUGGUUUUGUGAUGCAAAUGAAGACCGACUGAAAACCACAGCGCUGAUCCUCCUCCAGACCACCUGCACCGUUUUUUCCUCCUCUGAGACAUGGAUAUCCUUGAUGGAAAAUUUAUUCCUUUUUACUGUGGCUGCUCUGGUGACAUGGUGACAUGGUGCCUGCUGCCCUGCAGAGACCUCCUGUGCAGAGCUGGAUGGCACAAGGAGAUGAGAGACAUCAACGACAAGAGGAGAGCGGCUAUUUCCACCAAGGCCCUAACACACCUAAUAUAUUGCAAAUGCAGAAUUGAUCAUCCUGCUCAAUCAGAAGUGUUCUUUUUCUUUCCCCCAAGAUAAACGUCCAUGGACUGGUGAGUUGGACUUGGUCCUAAGCAGAGAACCGUGAUGGUGACGCACACUGAAUGGCACAAUGUAUUUUUUUCCUUUGCUAUAGUUUAGCACUUUCACACCACAAUAAGACAAUAGUGGUGUUCUUGCCAGAAGUGCUGCCGUGCAUCUGCCCGCAGCGUUGCCCUCAGCAGGCGCCGUGCAGCCGUGCUGCAGCUGUACACGCGGUGCCCAGCAGUGCCAGGGGCUGCAGCAGGGCUGCUCAAUGCAGCUUUGUCACACGCUGCUUGGAGACAAGGGUUCGAGGUAGGAGUGUGGCUGCAACCACGCAGACACCCUGCAGAGGGGUUUCGGUGCUGAUCCUGCAGAGCCUGAAGGUUGCAUCAGAGCAGUUCCCUUACAACAUACACCCACGCAGCUAAUACCAGCCCCUUGUACCAAAACACACUAUCAGUGUAAAUGACAGCUGAAACACAGUAAACUUUGCCUUGAAGAGAGGACCUUUAACAGACUGCAAGUUAUGUCAUGUUCUAAAAAGAGUAAAUGUCUCUGGUGAAUUUACAUUACCUUGUUUAUUGUCACCUAGAGGUUUCUUGCUACUUACCAGAUUUUGCCUUUCAGCAAACCAUCUUCAGCUGCAGACUGAAAAGUUACUGCGGGAUUCUGUGCUAAAAAUUACCUCUGGAAAUAUAAAACAAUUCUACAUAGAAAAAUGAGUGAAAAAAGUAAGUGAAAAAUGAGAAGUUAGGGAUUUCUUUAGCUGAUAGCUGUGUUCUUAGAAGGACUGUUUCGUCUAAAUGACAAAGAUGUGCUGUCCUGAGAUCAUUUAAGAGACAUGUGAUGAACAUGAACAAGACUUUUUAAAUUGCAUUUAUAAGAAGAUUGCUGUGUGUGAGGAGGAGGAGAUACUUGAAGAGUUUCAGCCGAGGAAGAAACUGGUAAUUACACUGUCAUCAAAACCCAUACGCAAAUAUCCAGUAACGAGUUUAUGGAUCUUCAGGUUGAAAAAUGGUUCAUCUUCACAAAUUGACUGUGAAAGAGAACCGAUCUUGUGUUCAGUAUAAGACUAUUCAAUUCAAAUAACCUGAUCUAUUCCAACAAGUACUAUCAAAAUUUAUGAAAAGUUUGUUGGGACUGUAGAGUUGCCAUUUUCCUAAUGAGGAUAAUUAGCCCUAGCAGCAAAUGGAAGUGAAGGAGUCUCCAUCCCGACUGUGUGAUUAGAUCUGCAUCUCGUAUCCAAAACUGAAUCGAGCCUUCAGCACUGGAGUAAUUGGGGGAAGCUGUAUGGGCUCAUUUUGUACAGGUUACCCUACUUUGUUGCUCUUCUCUCCCUAUACCUUCAUGCUUCUGAAUGUUUGGCUCUAAUAUAAAGGAAGAGACAUUCCUGUUUCCUAUAUAAUAUACAUAAAAUUAGUUAGCAUAUUUAUUACAGCAUAUAUAAAGUAUUCAAGCCUUUCCUUGAAUUCAUCUUUCUUCUUACUUUGAAUAAAGAAACUUUCUUUGGAAGCAAACAAACUGUACCUCAUAACAUCUUUCCUGAGCUAGUGACUGUUAGGAAUGCUUCAGGGUGGAAUUUUGCCCAUAAAGAAUCUCACCUUUUAAUACUUAUAGGUUAACACUAAUAUUUGUCUUAGAUGCCAGAAUCAACGGAGUAGUUUCUCUCCUCCAGUGGGACCCGAAGCUCGACAGUCUGCCAUGGGCUCGGGGUUAGAGCAGGUCAUUUACGUUCUGAUGAAUCAGACCUUGCUGUUCCAAAUGCUGUUUUGCUAAACACAGAAUAUUUUAUUUAAAAUACAUCAGAGUUUGAUUUUUACUGUGUUCAAGAUUAGUUCCACUGGAUUCCCAUCUGUGCUUUUGACAGGUCCACCGCAAAGCAGACUUUUGCCACUGGAUGCUGGAAGGGAGCAGAGAAGCCCCCAGUAAAGCUCCUUUUACCAUUUUCCAGAUCCUGAUAGCUUUUAGUCAAAUAGCAGGUUGCUGUAUUUCUUGUCUUUUAUAUUGAGUUCUCUCCAGUUAGGACCCACACCGCAUAUGCACUAAGCUGAAGUGAGCUGGAAGUGCUUGCUACUUCUUCAAAUCACUGUUUACUCACUGAACUCAGGCUCUGAUAAAAUUGGGCUCCCUGUGAGGUGUACAGGUGAUAGCACAGACUACUACAAUUCUGCAGGUGACAAGGGGAACAGAGGAGAAGAAGAAAAUGAAAGAAGAGGGAAAGGAAAGGAAAACAAGCACAAAGGAAGACAAACAAUUUUAUGAAAUCUUAAGCAGCAAUGUAAUUAUUUGACUGUUAAUCAAGAAUUAUUUUACAGCUGAGGAGUGAUGCACUGAAAGUAGAAAGAGGCAGAUUUCGGGUGUGUUUUCUC